CAGUCGCCGCGGUAAUACGAAGGGUGCAAGCGUUAAUCGGAAUUACUGGGCGUAAAGCGUGCGUAGGCGGUGAGUUAAGUCAGAUGUGAAAUCCCCGAGCUUAACUUGGGAACUGCAUUUGAAACUGGCAAGCUAGAGUCUUGUAGAGGGGGGUAGAAUUCCAGGUGUAGCGGUGAAAUGCGUAGAGAUCUGGAGGAAUACCGGUGGCGAAGGCGGCCCCCUGGACAAAGACUGACGCUCAGGUGCGAAAGCGUGGGGAGCAAACAGGAUUAGAUACCCCGGUAGUCCCUGUCUCUUAUAC
rnacentral:rRNA from 1 species